rnacentral:rRNA from 1 species
UUGACCUCAAAUCAGGUAGGACUACCCGCUGAACUUAAGCAUAUCAAUAAGCGGAGGAAAAGAAACUAACAAGGAUUCCCCUAGUAACUGCGAGUGAAGCGGGAAAAGCUCAAAUUUAAAAUCUGGCGGUCUUGCGGCCGUCCGAGUUGUAAUCUGGAGAAGCGUUUAUCCGCGUCGGACCGUGUACAAGUCUUCUGGAAGGGAGCGUCGUAGAGGGUGAGAAUCCCGUCUUUGACACGGACAACCGGUGCUUUUGUGAUGCG